CCACAGGGAUUGCCCCAGUAACGGCGAGUGAAGCGGCAACAGCUCAAAUUUGAAAUCUGGCUCUCGGGCCCGAGUUGUAAUUUGUAGAGGAUGCUUUUGGUGAGGUGCCUUCCGAGUUCCCUGGAACGGGACGCCAUAGAGGGUGAGAGCCCCGUCUGGUUGGACGCCGAACCUCUGUAAAGCUCCUUCGACGAGUCGAGUAGUUUGGGAAUGCUGCUCUAAAUGGGAGGUAUAUGUCUUCUAAAGCUAAAUACCGGCCAGAGACCGAUAGCGCACAAGUAGAGUGAUCGAAAGAUGAAAAGAACUUUGAAAAGAGAGUUAAACAGUACGUGAAAUUGUUGAAAGGGAAGCGCUUGUGACCAGACUUGGGCUUGGUUGAUCAUCCGGGGUUCUCCCCGGUGCACUCUUCCGGCUCAGGCCAGCAUCAGUUCGCCCUGGGGGAUAAAGGCAUCGGGAACGUGGCUCUCUCCGGGGAGUGUUA
rnacentral:misc_RNA from 1 species